GGAUCUGCAUGACAGGACUCAGCCAGCUUUGUAGCUUUCUAGGCAGAAGAAGGUAGGACAAAGUCUCACAGAAGAGAAAAUAGCUAAGACCUCGUCUUUUCAUCAAGUUCACUGUGUAAAAUAACAGCUUAAGCAAAAGAUGGGGCUGGGGCUGGAGAGAUGACUCAGUCAGUACUUAAGUGUUUGCUUUUCAAGUAUGAGGCCCUGAGUUCAGUUCCCAGAACCAAUAUAAAAAUACCUGACAUGGUAGGACUCCCUUAGAAUCCCAACACUGAUGAGUCCCCGAGACUCUCAUGCCAGCCAGCCUGGAGUCCUUAGUGAAUUCCUGGCCAAGGAGACGCUGCUUCAAAAGGCAAGGCGGACAGCUCCUUAGAAAGGACAGCAAGGUUGAGCUCUGGCCUCCGUGUGUGUGUGUGUGUGUGUGUCUGUGUGUGUGUGUGUGUGUGUGUGUGUGUGUGUAUGUGCGCGCGUGCGAGAGAGAGAGAGAGAGAGAGAGAGAGCGCGUGCACGUGCUAAGAUAAAGACUUCUUGAUAGUAUUUAGGACUGACUAGUCAGCUACGCAGAACUCGGAGCCCCGAGGAGGUGUGAAGACUUGGGAGAGGACAAAUGAGGACAGGAAAGACUGAAAAUCCAGAAAGGAGGAAGGACAGUCAGCGGGGCUGACAGGUGCAUCUGUCUUCAAGAAGAGCAUAGGGCCAAGAUGAAGGCAGAGACAGAAGCUUAGAGCCUCCAGCAGGCUCUCUCAACCAUUUUUAAAUUUGUGAGCUCAUCUUAUACUCAUUUUUAUGGAGAUUUUUAAUCAUCGGAUCAUUUUGCAUUUGCAAGGAAAGUGAAGUAAUUUAAUGUUUUCUUAAAUAUAUGCCAUUUAAGAUAAGUCUAUAUUAAAAGUUUCAUUACAAAAUUAAUUGAAUACAAUGUUUACUAACAUUCAUGGAUUAUAAUAAUAAAUUUUGAAUGAGUUCCAUCUAACAAGUGAUGCACAUGAUUUGAUUUACUUUAAUUAUGCAAGUAAUGACAAUUUAUAAAACAGUUUUAAAUGACAUCCAGUAGCAUGCUUAGCUUAGAAAUCAAACAAAUAUUAAACUUUGAGCCAGUAUUUAAUUCUCUAUCAUUAACAAAACUAGACCAAUCUGCUUUCAGAACUGGGCAAGGAAACCUUGUGUUUUGGGUAAAAUAAAAAUGUGAUAUUUUUUUCCUCACUUAAUUUUAUUUCUAAUCAGCAAAAUAUAAGAACAUCUGACCACUAUUGGUAAACACUUCUGUGAAAAUCCCUAGAGGCUAAAUUAGAUAUGAGUAGCACUAUAUUUUCUCAUAUUAAUAUUUUUGUGACAAAGAUUGCAAUAGGGGACAUGAGAGGUAGGGAGAGUUCUGAAACUUGGUGAUGAAAAUCUUCAAAUAACAGGCUGGAAAAUAUCUCAGUGGAUAAAAGGGAGCAGAACUCAGAUCCCCAGACCCCAUGUAAAGUCAUCUGUAGUCACAGCACUCAGGCAGUGUGUCUCAGGCCAGCUAACCUGGCUUAUGUAACAGGGAGACAGAGAUCUGCCUCCAACAACACGGACUGUCAGGACUGACUUCUCUGUGUGUUCUGUGGCACAGGCACACCCACGCCUACAAACAUAAACACACACCUACGUGUGUGAGACACACACACACACACACACACACACACACUUCUUAAGUCUUAAAAUACAGUUGUCCCUCUAUAAAGUGACAUUUUUGGGCCCACAGAUUCAACCAACCACAGAUUGAAAAUAUUUGGUCAAGUGUUGUGUGUGUCCUGAACACAUACCAACCUUUGCUUCUUCUAUUUGUUGCUUAAACAAUAUAGUCUAACAUCUACUUAACAUUCACACGUAGUGGGCAUUAGAAGUAGUCCAGAGAGUCUUCUAUGAGAGGCUUAGGCAUCCUUGGGGUCCUAGAGCCUCCCCUCGCUGAUCCCGCGAUCCACUGCUGUCUGUAGAGUUCCUGUCAUUUCAGAAAUCUGCUAUUUGCCUUUGCCAAGAAGCCAUUGCCAAGGGGGAUAUCAGCCAGCUUAAUCAAUGAGAUGGUUAACAAACAAUAAUACUUUUCAUUGGUGUGAUGAUUCAACUCUAGUCAUGGCUGGUAGUACUUAUUGUAACAUCUCUUCUUAUAGUGGAGAAUGAAUACGGGGCCAUGAACAAUGGCUUUGAAUUCUAGUCUUGUCAUUCACAAACAUGAAUUGACACAGAGUUAUACAAUGGCUCUGGGCUUAGUUUCCCUGGCUGUAAACUAGCGGUGGUUGAAAUCUCUGCUUUCACUGCAGUUAUGAGAUUCAAUAUUUUUAGGAGUGUAUGGAGGGAGCAGAGGAUGCCCUCAAGUGUCACACUCAGGUGCACCAUGCCCUUCCUUUGAGAUGGGGCCUCUCAUUUCCCUAGAACUCACCAGGAUAGAUUCACUGGCCAAGAAGUGUGGAGGAUUUCCCAGCACUUGGCUGAUAGAGCAGUCAGGACCACACAGAGCUUUUUAUUUGGGUACUGGGGAUCUAAGCUCAGGUCUUCAUAUUUGCAAAGCAAGCACUUUAGCCACAGAGCAGUCUUUCCAUCCCCGAUUGUGAGACUUAAUAGCAAUAACAGAUGAAGAGUGGCGGGGUCAGGGUUUAUUCCCAGCCCUCCUGGCAAAGCAAGGUGACUAUUUUCAUAUUUACCCCCAACUGGGACCUGAGCACUUGGGGCCAAGACCACCUCAGCUGAUAAACCCAGCUCUGACAGAUUUGUGUUCAAUAAUUAUCUGUUGGCUGAAUGGAUAAACUAGACAAAAGGAUGAGUGAAAACCAAUUGUUUAAAGAGAAAUGAAAAAGGAAAUGUCAUAUCUACUUUCCUGGAUAAGAAAGCCCAGACCCAGAGAACUAAAAUGGUUAAGGGUGGUAUAGAGCUAACUAACACAGGACUAAUACAUCUCCCUUCUCCCCCACCGAACCCCCACAUCACCAUCACCCUCCUUUGUAAACCUCUGGCCUUUGGCAGGCUCCUGGACUGCAUUUUUCAGAGCUGCUGUCACAUAGUUUAGAAAACCGGAAACAAUACUUGCCUCUGCUUUUAUGGCCGAGGCUUCUAGAGUAAAAAGCCAAGGCAGCCUUUAAAUGUUUCAUUUUUAUAAGGGGCCAU
rnacentral:lncRNA from 1 species